UUUUUCUUCAGCGCCUGAACUCACGGUGAACUGUCUGUUCUAAUAGGCUUCAUCUUCAUUACAGGAUAAUAUAAUGUUGUAUUCUGCAGUCACAGAACCACUGUUUCCCUUUGGCAGUCUGGAAAUGAAGGUCAUUUCACAAGGCAGCCCAGGAGUGUCUGGCAGAAAUGUUCUGGAAACCUCUGAAGGGAUGAAGAAGGAAAAAAG